AAAUUGAAGAGUUUGAUCAUGGCUCAGAUUGAACGCUGGCGGCAGGCCUAACACAUGCAAGUCGAGCGGUAGCACAGAGAGCUUGCUCUCGGGUGACGAGCGGCGGACGGGUGAGUAAUGUCUGGGAAACUGCCUGAUGGAGGGGGAUAACUACUGGAAACGGUAGCUAAUACCGCAUAACGUCGCAAGACCAAAGUGGGGGACCUUCGGGCCUCAUGCCAUCAGAUGUGCCCAGAUGGGAUUAGCUAGUAGGUGGGGUAACGGCUCACCUAGGCGACGAUCCCUAGCUGGUCUGAGAGGAUGACCAGCCACACUGGAACUGAGACACGGUCCAGACUCCUACGGGAGGCAGCAGUGGGGAAUAUUGCACAAUGGGCGCAAGCCUGAUGCAGCCAUGCCGCGUGUGUGAAGAAGGCCUUCGGGUUGUAAAGCACUUUCAGCGGGGAGGAAGGCGAUAAGGUUAAUAACCUUGUCGAUUGACGUUACCCGCAGAAGAAGCACCGGCUAACUCCGUGCCAGCAGCCGCGGUAAUACGGAGGGUGCAAGCGUUAAUCGGAAUUACUGGGCGUAAAGCGCACGCAGGCGGUCUGUCAAGUCGGAUGUGAAAUCCCCGGGCUUAACCUGGGAACUGCAUUCGAAACUGGCAGGCUAGAGUCUUGUAGAGGGGGGUAGAAUUCCAGGUGUAGCGGUGAAAUGCGUAGAGAUCUGGAGGAAUACCGGUGGCGAAGGCGGCCCCCUGGACAAAGACUGACGCUCAGGUGCGAAAGCGUGGGGAGCAAACAGGAUUAGAUACCCUGGUAGUCCACGCCGUAAACGAUGUCGAUUUGGAGGUUGUGCCCUUGAGGCGUGGCUUCCGGAGCUAACGCGUUAAAUCGACCGCCUGGGGAGUACGGCCGCAAGGUUAAAACUCAAAUGAAUUGACGGGGGCCCGCACAAGCGGUGGAGCAUGUGGUUUAAUUCGAUGCAACGCGAAGAACCUUACCUGGUCUUGACAUCCACAGAACUUUCCAGAGAUGGAUUGGUGCCUUCGGGAACUGUGAGACAGGUGCUGCAUGGCUGUCGUCAGCUCGUGUUGUGAAAUGUUGGGUUAAGUCCCGCAACGAGCGCAACCCUUAUCCUUUGUUGCCAGCGGUUCGGCCGGGAACUCAAAGGAGACUGCCAGUGAUAAACUGGAGGAAGGUGGGGAUGACGUCAAGUCAUCAUGGCCCUUACGACCAGGGCUACACACGUGCUACAAUGGCAUAUACAAAGAGAAGCGACCUCGCGAGAGCAAGCGGACCUCAUAAAGUAUGUCGUAGUCCGGAUUGGAGUCUGCAACUCGACUCCAUGAAGUCGGAAUCGCUAGUAAUCGUAGAUCAGAAUGCUACGGUGAAUACGUUCCCGGGCCUUGUACACACCGCCCGUCACACCAUGGGAGUGGGUUGCAAAAGAAGUAGGUAGCUUAACCUUCGGGAGGGCGCUUACCACUUUGUGAUUCAUGACUGGGGUGAAGUCGUAACAAGGUAACCGUAGGGGAACCUGCGGUUGGAUCACCUCCUUA
rnacentral:rRNA from 4 species